UCUUCCGAUUAGCGCGGUUGGACACGCACGGGGAAUGUACAUUGAACUACUUCCUUUGCACCGUACGUAUCCAACCGCGCUAAAUCGGAGGU
rnacentral:pre_miRNA from 1 species